AUUGAACGCUGGCGGCAUGCCUUACACAUGCAAGUCGAACGGUAACAGGUUAAGCUGACGAGUGGCGAACGGGUGAGUAAUAUAUCGGAACGUGCCCAGUCGUGGGGGAUAACGUAGCGAAAGCUACGCUAAUACCGCAUACGAUCUACGGAUGAAAGCGGGGGAUCGCAAGACCUCGCGCGAUUGGAGCGGCCGAUAUCAGAUUAGGUUGUUGGUGAGGUAAAAGCUCACCAAGCCUGCGAUCUGUAGCUGGUCUGAGAGGACGACCAGCCACACUGGAACUGAGACACGGUCCAGACUCCUACGGGAGGCAGCAGUGGGGAAUUUUGGACAAUGGACGCAAGUCUGAUCCAGCAAUGCCGCGUGCAGGACGAAGGCCUUCGGGUUGUAAACUGCUUUUGUACGGAACGAAACGGUCCGGGUUAAUACCCUGGGCUAAUGACGGUACCGUAAGAAUAAGCACCGGCUAACUACGUGCCAGCCGCCGCCGUAA
rnacentral:rRNA from 1 species